GCCACAUGAUGUAAAACAGAUGACAUUAGCACACUGUGCAAAGAUGACUUAACAUCUGCCACCUAAUACUGAUGGCU